CGGGUGAGUAAUACAUCGGAACGUGUCCUGGAGUGGGGGAUAGCCCGGCGAAAGCCGGAUUAAUACCGCAUACGCUCUGUGGAGGAAAGCGGGGGAUCUUCGGACCUCGCGCUCAAGGGGCGGCCGAUGGCAGAUUAGCUAGUUGGUGGGGUAAAGGCCUACCAAGGCGACGAUCUGUAGCUGGUCUGAGAGGACGACCAGCCACACUGGGACUGAGACACGGCCCAGACUCCUACGGGAGGCAGCAGUGGGGAAUUUUGGACAAUGGGGGCAACCCUGAUCCAGCAAUGCCGCGUGUGUGACGAAGGCCUUCGGGUUGUAAAGCACUUUUGUCCGGAAAGACAGCCUCGUCGCUAAUACCGAAGGGGGAUGACGGUACCGGAAGAAUAAGCACCGGCUAACUACGUGCCAGCAGCCGCGGUAAUACGUAGGGUGCGAGCGUUAAUCGGAAUUACUGGGCGUAAAGCGUGCGCAGGCGGUUCGCUAAGACCGAUGUGAAAUCCCCGGGCUUAACCUGGGAACUGCAUUGGUGACUGGCGGGCUAGAGUAUGGCAGAGGGGGGUAGAAU
rnacentral:rRNA from 1 species